rnacentral:tRNA from 1 species
GAGGGUGUAGCUCAGUGGUGGAGCACAUGCCUAGCAUGCACGAGGUCCUGGGUUCAAUCCCUAGUGCCUCCA